rnacentral:rRNA from 1 species
AUUGAACGCUGGCGGCAUGCCUUACACAUGCAAGUCGAACGGCAGCACGGGGGCAACCCUGGUGGCGAGUGGCGAACGGGUGAGUAAUACAUCGGAACGUGCCCGGUAGUGGGGGAUAGCUCGGCGAAAGCCGGAUUAAUACCGCAUACGACCUACGGGUGAAAGCGGGGGACCGUAAGGCCUCGCGCUAUUGGAGCGGCCGAUGUCAGAUUAGGUUGUUGGUGGGGUAAAGGCCCACCAAGCCGACGAUCUGUAGCUGGUCUGAGAGGACGACCAGCCACACUGGGACUGAGACACGGCCCAGACUCCUACGGGAGGCAGCAGUGGGGAAUUUUGGACAAUGGGCGAAAGCCUGAUCCAGCCAUGCCGCGUGCGGGAAGAAGGCC